rnacentral:rRNA from 1 species
UUGACGGGGACCCGCACAAGCGUGGAUGAUGUGGUUUAAUUCGAUGCAACGCGAAAAACCUUACCACCCUUGACAUGUCUGGAAUCUUGGUGAGAGCCGAGGGUGCCUUCGGGAGCCAGAACACAGGUGCUGCAUGGCUGUCGUCAGCUCGUGUCGUGAGAUGUUGGGUUAAGUCCCGCAACGAGCGCAACCCUUAUCAUUAGUUGCUACGCAAGGGCACUCUAAUGAGACUGCCGGUGACAAACCGGAGGAAGGUGGGGAUGACGUCAAGUCCUCAUGGCCCUUAUGGGUAGGGCUUCACACGUCAUACAAUGGUCGGUACAGAGGGUUGCCAAGCCGCGAGGCGGAGCCAAUCCCACAAAGCCGAUCGUAGUCCGGAUUGUUCUCUGCAACUCGAGAGCAUGAAGUCGGAAUCGCUAGUAAUCGCAGGUCAGCAUACUGCGGUGAAUACGUUCCCGGGUCUU